AACGAACGCUGGCGGCGUGCCUAACACAUGCAAGUCGAACGAGAAAGGGGCUUCGGCUCUGAGUAAAGUGGCGCACGGGUGAGUAACACGUGGGCAACCUGCCUCCAAGACCGGGAUAACCUGUCGAAAGACGAGCUAAUACCAGAUAAGACCACAGUUCCUGCGGGAAUCGGGGUCAAAGGUAGCCUCUGCAUGCAAGCUAUCACUUGGAGAUGGGCCUGCGCACCAUUAGCUAGUUGGUAGGGUAACGGCCUACCAAGGCGAAGAUGGUUAGCUGGUCUGAGAGGAUGAUCAGCCACACUGGAACUGAGACACGGUCCAAACUCCUACGGGAGGCAGCAGUGGGGAAUAUUGCGCAAUGGGCGAAAGCCUGACGCAGCAACGCCGCGUGAGUGAUGAAGGCCUUCGGGUCGUAAAGCUCUGUCGGAGGGAACGAAUGCUCCCGAGGUUAAUAGCCUCGGGGGGUGACGGUACCCUCAAAGGAAGCACCGGCUAACUCUGUGCCAGCAGCCGCGGUAAUACAGAGGGUGCAAGCGUUGUUCGGAAUUAUUGGGCGUAAAGGGCGUGUAGGCGGUUUGUUAAGUCAUGUGUGAAAUCCCCCGGCUCAACCGGGAA
rnacentral:rRNA from 1 species